GGAAGGGUCGCAUAGAGGCCUAGUGCGUUGGUCCUGAAAACCAAUGUCCCGCUUUGCGGGACCGUGGGUUCGAAUCCCACCCCUUCCG
rnacentral:tRNA from 1 species